rnacentral:rRNA from 1 species
GCCGGAAUUGCUAGUAAUGGCAGGUCAGCAUACUGCCGUGAAUACGUUCCCGGGCCUUGUACACACCGCCCGUCACACCAUGAGAGUUGGGAAUACCCGAAGCCUGUGAGCUAACUAUAUGAGGCAGCAGUCGAAGGUAGAAUCAAUGAUUGGGGUGAAGUCGUAACAAGGUAAC